rnacentral:lncRNA from 1 species
UAUUUUGCCUACAACACCCAGCGGGACUUGCUAAUAUUUUUAUUUUGCCUAUUUCACCCAACCAAGACUUCAUGCAACCUACAAAAUCAGAAAACAAAAGCAUGCCUAAGCAAAAAAGCUUCAUCACCUACUUCUCAGAUACGAUUCGGACAAACAAAAAACUUGUUGUGAUCACCCUAGGGAUUAACCUGGUGCAUGCACAAAUCUUUAUGUAGUUUGUCUACAUCACAAAAACAACUUGCCUAAAAACUUGCUAAACUUUGCUUAACAGUUCUUGGCCCAAAAAGCAAGAGAUAAUUUUUUGCUUUCUUGCUGAUUGCACAGAACUUGCCCCAAAAGAAUUGCUGGGGCAUGCGUUGUAGGGUGAUUUCUCACCUCGUGUCAAGCUCGACCUGCAUCGUUGAAUCAUAUCCUGCCUGCUGGUCCUUUGGGUGGGUGUGUACAACAGGGUCAGCAGCAGUUUGGUCUUCAGUUUCGUCCGUCAUGUUGGCUUUAGGCUUGUAGCCUAGUAGUGUUGUAAAUAUCUGAAUAACUUGGUGGCUUCUUACAAGGGAGGAGGACAUGGAUGGAUGUUGGCUGCCGGCCAGCCGAUGAGGUUGCACAACAUGCAGUGCGCCAAUGAAGAAGCAACGGAUUUUCACUAGUACUCCUAGUAUUAUGUAAGAUUUUUGUGUACUUUGAUUACUUUUGGUGCUAGCCCUUCAAUUGAUUUACCAUUGUGUUUUUAUGUUUGUUUACAACUUCCUGUUCUCAUGUAGUUCAGCCACUCCUCUGCUUUUAUAGACUAUUGUUAUUAGUAAUGUUCUUAUAUUCCUGUUUAAUAGGUAGUUGCCUGAACAUACUAUAAGCUUUUCUAUAGAAGGCGUUAUUUGCAAGAGACAGGAAGAUGCCAUUCUAAAUCCCUUUUAAACUUUCUAGUGUUGGCCAAUUCACGGGGGGCGACGAUGAGGGAUGGACGAACAAGUUGUGGCGAGUGGGAGAGGCAAGGGGACCUGUUCACCGCUGCGAGGGGGAUGUCGAAGGAACCAAAAACGGAAGCUAGCACAGCGACACCAUGUUCAUUUGUCUGUAGGAGGUAAAUGCCAUCUCUUUUCGAAGAACUGAACUAUUUUCACCAUUGUUUUUUCUAUGUUAUAUCUGAGAUUUUCUGUGAUCGAUAAUAUGUGUUCAUUUAGAACCUCAAUGCCACCUCCUCGCCUCUAGUCCACUGUCUCAGUCAAAGGCAAGGUUGCCUAGUAUAAGAUGCAAGUUGCCUAAACGACGGCCACUUGUUGCCUGGGACAAAGAGACAUGUUGUUUGGGAUGAAAAGCUCCACACCACUUUUGUUUUUUUGCAGGAUAAAAGCAAAGUUGGCUAAAUGACAACCAUAGUCUUUUUUAUUUGAAAAUGUCUGCUAGUUGAAGAGGGGGUGUGUUGUCCGUUUUUUAAGAGGGUGUCUGUUUUUCACCAGUGUUGUUUCUCUGUUCUACCUGAGAUUUCUGGUUCUAUGUAACAUGUGUUCACUUAGCCAAAACUAACGGGCAAUAUUUUUUCAUAACAUGCUAUGGGAGAUGGUUUGGAGUCCCUUUGCAGCACAAGGAUAAUGCCCUACAAUCUAUAACUUUUUUGUGCAUUGAGUUCUAGGGGAAAAAUAUGCCUUCUUCUAGUCAAUGAUUUCUACAGUAACUUGCCUAAUAAUAUCAAAAAAUUGCCAUCUUGAUUCUUCUAGUCAAUGAUUUCCACAGUAACUUGCCUAAUAAUUCUAUGCGAUAGAGGCCGGAUAGGGAGGUUGAAGAGGGGUGUGUGGGAUCCCGGAUUUUUGGGUGAAUCGAUGAUUUUGAGUGCAACAAUGGUUUGCGACUUAGGGAUGUGGGGGUUGGAAUCGUCGAUGAUUUAUGUCGAAAGUGUCCAAGAACUUGCCCAACGCAUGAUAGUUAGUUACUAGAGAUGCUGACAUGAGCUGCCCAAAGAUCCUCUCUCCAGAGCACUGGGUUUUAUUUUGUCCAAAACAUGCACAUGGUAUGAUACUCCCUCCGUAAAGAAAUAUAAGAGUAUUUAGAUCACUACUUUAGUGAUCUAAACACUCUUAUAUUUCCUUACAGAGGGAGUCGCUGGAAUGAGUUAACCAGAGGGAUUUUUUAGCAGCAAAUUGAUUUAAUUUGCACAAGAUUUGCUAUUUCUAAUAGGAUAAGUUGUCUACAUAUAAAUAGUAGUUGCCUAAAUCACCUAAGUUUUGUAAAUAUGCUUUCGUAGAUAUCUUGCCUAAAGAAAUUGUUUGUUUUGUUUGCAGUGCCUCACUAAAUUCUAAAACGAUGUCAAAGCAACAUUUUCGAGGUUUUAUGCACACGCCCAAGCAAGAAGCUUCAACAUCCACUUCCAGGUAAGCUUCACACAAAGCUAUCCGAUUUUAUUUUAUUUUGUUUCAGCAAAAAAGGAGGAGUCGCCUCAAACUUAUAUGCAUUUGCCUACAUUUCAGCAUGACUUGCUGUUUAUUUUCUCUGUGCAAGCAAGAAGCUUUGCCUAUCACUUUCAGGUAAACUUUACACGUCCCCAAUAUUUCCAACUAGUUUUUUCUGCCUCCCCAGUAGCUGGCUGUUGUCUUUUGUUGUUCCAGCAAAUAAAGAAGUUGCCUAAAACUUAUAUGCAAAUUGCCUACAUCACAACAGAAGUUGCUUUCUGGCCCCGUUUAUUCGCAAGCAAAAAAGUUUCACCAGUAACUCCCAAACUUCGCACAACCCUAGAGCUUUCCAACAUGUGUUUUGAUGCGUCCCCAGUAGGUGGUUGUUCGGUUUUUUUUGUUCAACAAAAAAGGGAGUUGCCUAAAAAUUAUAUUUAAAUUGCCUACAUUACCGGAAGACUUGCUUUUGAUUUACCCUUCUCCUUUUUUGACAACAAACUAAUAAGCUGCCUGCAUAAAUAGGUUUUAACUCACAAAAUUUGCUUACACCGCAAGCACAACUUGAGCCUUUUUGUUUCGCUUAGCUGUUGAUCCCUAGGAUGAUAGGUUGGGGAGAGUCGAUGGCGAUGGGCUAUUUUUUGGUGCGGCAAACCAUUGGUCUACCUCGAAGUCAACAUUAUCUUGGCGACGUUUGAGAGGGGUGUGGGUGGGAAGUUGUGAGGCAGAGGCUACAAGUUGCCAGAUGUGUGGUACGAGUUGCCAGAUCUACGGUUUUUUGAGUUUGGCACUAGUGUGGUUCCCCUCUUUUUUCACAAAACUUGCAUAACAAUUGAUCAAGAUUUUGAACUUAGCAUUUGGUAUACUUAUUAAGGGAGCCGAAUAAUGUGUAGCUAUUUUUUAUGCCGAGUGGAGAUUGAGCCUUUUUGUGUCUGGGUGGAACACUUCAGAUAAUGAACAAUCCUAAACUUGCCUACUGUUUGUUACUUAGUUGCCUGGCAUGGUUCAGAAUUUGCUUGGUUUUGUUAAUUUGGUGGCUUUGAGUUUUGCCAAAACUUGACCAACACUAGCUAUCUAGGUAGUUGCCUCAAUUAACACAUGAACUUUGCUCAUGUGUUAUUUUCCUUCACAUUUCAAGAGCUUGAUAGUCCUUUUUAGUUAGUGUCCUGGAAAUUUCAUACAAGCCACCUGAAUAUGCAUUUAUGAUGAUAUUUUUAUCCCUGUUUUUUAGUGGGGAAAAUGGCUGGGACGAGCAAAAAAUGCAAUUGGCAGCAACAACUUGCGGACGCUCCUGACCAUGAUUCAUCUCUUGACCAUGAUUCAUCUACUACCUUUGAAGAGCAACAAACAGCGGGAGGAAUACGGCAAGCUGUGGGUAAGCUCUUUUCCCCUUUGUUUAAACAUCAACAUGCUUUUUUCUCAGGCACCUCACACACAUAUAUCGAAGUUCACAAACACAAACACACACAUAAUCACUUGGACUAAAAACUAGGGGUUAGGCAAGUCCACACUACUAGACUAGUCAAUUGACACACAGAACAAGCAAGCUAAACACAAAUGUUAGAUCACAUACAAAUAUUAGGCACAGACCUAGGAGGUAGGGGGUUGUGUGUCAGGAAAAUCAUGCAUGCAGAACAUGCAUGUCACAUUCAAAUGUCAAGCAACUCACAUACUCAACACCAGCCAGUCACAUUCAAAUGUCAAACACGUUACAUACUCAACACUAACUACAGGUAAGCUCUUUUUCUUCUCCCAUUUUCAAACACCCACAUGGUUUGUUUGACAUUUUGAGUAGGACUUUCUUGACAUUUGAAUGUGACUUGCCGGUGUUAAGUGUAUGACUUGCUUGUUGUUUUUUAGGCAAACUGUGACUUUGCAUGUUUCUGAAUGUGUGAUAUUCCUGACACACAACCCCCUCCGCCACACUUGAAAUUUGUUUAGGCAAAUCAUUUCUAAGUUUUCCAAAUAAACCAACCUUAUAACUUGUGUGUUUCAUUGUCCACAUUUUCCCCAAAUGAACACAAGGCUUUUUUGUCUACCCCUAGCAAGUCAAGAGUGCAUUACAUAGUGCAUUGCAGCUAGUGAUGACUAGGACUUGCCUGGCAUUUGGCUCUGACUUGCUAGUGUUAAUUAUGUGGCUUGCUUGCUAUUUUAGGCAAACCGUGACUUGCCUGUUCUGCAUGUGUGAUUUACCUGACACACAUACUUUAGCCCCUCCCUUACUUGAGGUUUGUUUAGGCAAAUUAUUUCUAUGUUUCCAAACAACAAACCUGUAACUUGUGUGUUUCAACGUCCACAAUAUUAAAAAAAUAGUUUUUGCAUGUUUCUAUUAAAAGGAACACAAGGUUUUUUUCUACCUAGCAAGUCGGAGUGCAUUAUAGAGAUGCAUUACAGAGAUUUGCCUGUUGUGUUUACCUAACUUGCCGAAAAUAACUAAACAAGUUGCCUUACCUUUUUUUAGCUCUAGACAAAUCAGACCGAAAAACCAACCUAGUACAAGGCGGGGUUGCAUCCAUAACAUCUCAGCAUUGUGUUUUCUUGUUGCAGGGAUCAGGGCACACCCCAAGCUAUCCAGAGAGAGAGGUGGCGCAGGGGAGGUUGUACAGGAAGCGUGAUUGGAAACUGACCUUCAAGUGCUCAUGGGGUGGGUGGAUGAUCCUCAGAGUUCCAUGUAUAUAAGAUUCAUGGCAGAAGAUGGAGAAGGGAGGGAUGGGUAGAUGGGGAAGAAAGGCUGGAGGAGGAGCGGGGGGUUGGACUGUAUGGGAAGGGAGGAAGGCUGCAGAGUUUUUGUGGCGUGUGGUUUUUUUUGUUUGACUAUUUCUUGUGGCGUGAGAUUCACACUGUAUUGUGGGACUGUAUUGUGGGAGGAGGUAAUCUGUCCAUGUGAGUGAUCGAACCGUUUCUUUCCUCUUUUGGGCGCCAGCUAGCAACAGGGGAGGGUCCACUGCCUUAUUUAGGUGUGUGCCCUGGACCGCUAGCCAGCCAACGGCUGCUGGCUAGUCGCGUCCAUUAGUAUUUCAUUAUCUGUCAACCGAUCCCUCCCUGUCCUGCACUUUCUCCUUGCAAAUUUGUAACAGAAUCGUAACUUUCCUUAUCUUGGCCGACACAUUCCCUCGCCUCCCCCGUUUCCUUUUCUCCGUAAGCAAUUUCUU